GCCUUAAAUUCCCUUUUACUAGAGAAUCAUGAGAAAACUACCAGGCAGCUGCUUCGAGGCUUUGGCUGGAAUGAGAACCAGCCCUGGUGUUGGUGUUUAACAUGACCCCGCCGCCAUUGUGUGGCCAGGCUAAGCGGGUAGGGGUCACAGGUGAGUUUUGUUGUUGCCAGCCGGAGUUCAUCUUUAGAAUGAUCUUUAAUUUCUUUUCUGUGCGCUGCUUCCUUUUUAUUUGAUCUUUCUGUUGUAGGAGACUCCGCGGAGGCUGCGGGUCUGCCCCAGAGCAGAAGGAGCAGUUUGCUGGAGCAGCAGGACAGAGAUGCGCUCGGCCAAGCUUCAAGAGGCCGGGAGAGGAAGCGGGUCCACAGAGCCGGCCCUGACUAGCCUGGCGUCCGUGAACAGCAGGGACAGUGAAAGACCGGCUUCUGGAGUUUUAUGGAAGGGACUGCAGGAGCUGGACUUGGGACAGACGUCUGAGCUGACUGGGGCUCCCAGGAUCUCCCCGAGUAGGCUCUUCAGCCCCAGGACACUUGCACGGCCCUGGAAGCUCGGCAGCUGGCGGUUACUCCUCCUGUUACAGACUGUCUUCCUGUUACAUUAAACUAGUGAUGCUCGAUGGAAUUUGUGAUGAAAGAAAGCUGCUCUCCUGCCUAAAUAUAUUUUUUCUUGAUUUCCUGCAGGCAGAGAUUACAUUUUAUUUUCUCCUCUAAUAAGAACCUGACUAGAAAUGUAAAUAAAAGUCACAUUUUCAUGAUACUUGUUAAAUUUAAAUUAUCAUUAAAUAUUACUUCUCAGCCUGAAUAAAUUAUAUAUGUGUAUAAAUAUGUGUGGAAUUUCUCCCUCUCUGUAUCAAGGGGGCAA
rnacentral:lncRNA from 1 species